UGCCCAGUAGCACCUUAGAGACCAACUAGGUUUGUUCUGGGUAAAAGCUUUCGUGUAUACCCAGAACAAACUUAGUUGGUCUCUAAGGUGCUACUGGACA